rnacentral:rRNA from 1 species
UGAACGCUAGCGACAGGCUUAACACAUGCAAGUCGAGGGGCGAUCACGGGAGUAGCAAUACAACUGGUGGCGACCGGCGCACGGGUGAGUAACGCGUAUGCAACCUACCUAUCAGAGGGGAAUAACCCGGCGAAAGUCGGACUAAUACCGCAUAAAACAGGGGCACCGCAUGGUGAUAUUUGUUAAAGAAAUUCGCUGACAGAUGGGCAUGCGUUCCAUUAGGUAGUUGGUGAGGUAACGGCUCACCAAGCCGACGAUGGAUAGGGGAACUGAGAGGUUGGUCCCCCACACUGGUACUGAGACACGGACCAGACUCCUACGGGAGGCAGCAGUGAGGAAUAUUGGUCAAUGGGCGGGAGCCUGAACCAGCCAAGUCCGCGUGAAGGAAGAAGGAUCUAUGGUUCGUAAACUUCUUUUGCAGGGGAAUAAAGUGCAGGACGUGUCCUGUUUUGUAUGUACCCUGAGAAUAAGGAUCGGCUAACUCCGUGCCAGCCGCCGC